rnacentral:rRNA from 1 species
AUUGAACGCUGGCGGCAGGCCUAACACAUGCAAGUCGAACGGUAACAGGAAGCAGCUUGCUGCUUCGCUGACGAGUGGCGGACGGGUGAGUCAUGUCUGGGAAACUGCCUGAUGGAGGGGGAUAACUACUGGAAACGGUAGCUAAUACCGCAUAACGUCGCAAGACCAAAGAGGGGGACCUUAGGGCCUCUUGCCAUCGGAUGUGCCCAGAUGGGAUUAGCUAGUAGGUGGGGUAACGGCUCACCUAGGCGACGAUCCCUAGCUGGUCUGAGAGGAUGACCAGCCACACUGGAACUGAGACACGGUCCAGACUCCUACGGGAGGCAGCAGUGGGGAAUAUUGCACAAUGGGCGCAAGCCUGAUGCAGCCAUGCCGCGUGUAUGAAGAAGGCCUUCGGGUUGUAAAGUACUUUCAGCGGGGAGGAAGGGAGUAAAGUUAAUACCUUUGCUCAUUGACGUUACCCGCAGAAGAAGCACCGGCUAACUACGUG